UAUGCGCACGAGGCUGAGCGACCAUAGGCUACAUUGCACGUGCAUGGCCCUAUGUGCAUGUAGGCAGAAUUCAAGAAUGCAGUAACGGUUAACCUUCGGUGGGCAGUUUCGGACCACAAUAACAGGCCAGCAUUGUGCCUGUCCUUCCAUGGCCAUGCAUGCAGUGGACAGCAACCCCCUGAAAAAUAAAGGAAUGGGUCAGUGAAGGAACUCUUGCCCUUUGGCUAGUGCCAUAUUCAUCUUACCUCCCCCUUGGCAUUAGCCUCUUCAACGAUACUCAAGAAGCGAUGGAUUUGAUCAAAGGCUCACUAGAUGUGUAAUGCCAUUGUCUAGAAGGUACUGAUAGUGAGCCGUCAUCCUAGGCAUUGCCAGGCCAGCCAGUUUGUUUGGCUCUACCCAGGAGAAGUUAGGAGGCGGUGAAUAUGGCAUCUCUGCAACAGAACAAAUGAGCAAUAUCCUGAAUGCUGAACACACGGUCAAUGACUGGCCGUAGAGCCACAGAUGAGUUUAGUGUCUCAAAAUGAGGCAGAGCUCUCUCUGAAAAGGCCUUUACCAGCUCAGCUUUAUACUGAAAAACAAACAAAAAAAACAUCAUUCACUUGACAUUUACGCUGCUGUGGUGUCUGAGUCUCACCUGUAGACUGCGUGACCGGAGCAGGCUGCAUAGCAGAUGACCCCGUUUGGACAGGAGUUUGCCCAGCAGAUCUCCGUCUACAUGUUUGCCUCCCAUGGCGCCAUAGAGAACCCACCGCCCAUCCAUAGCCAGACACUGUACAUUUUUAUUCCAGCACGAGCCACCCACACAGUCCAGAAUAACAUCUGCACCUCGGCCUACGGAGUUGGAGCCCAUUUUUACUUAUGCAUGUGGUGUGAAACAUACUACUUGGACUGGUGUCAACAUCAAAAUUUGGUUUUAUAAUAAGAAUAAAUAAAAUGCAUAAGUCUUUUAAAACCCCUUUGACAUGCCACCACUAGUAUAUACGUUACUGCAUGAAUUUAGUUACCUUUGGUAAACUCCAUGACCCUCUCAGAGAAAUCUUCAUCUUUGUAGUUAAACGCAGCAGCUGCUCCAAGAUUUUUAGUCAUCUUAAGUUUCUCUGCGGUCCCUGCGGUUACUACUGGAAUGGCCUGAGUCAAGCGAAGCAGCUGAAUGGCAGCAGUGCCAACCCCACUGGCUCCAGCAUGCACAAGCACAGUUUCUCCUGGCUGCACUUUAGCUACACACACACACAUACUCUAUUUCUUCCCAGAGACAUUUAAGUUUCUUGACUGUAAUUAAAUCUCAACAUUAAAAGUCAAAGUAUACACCA